rnacentral:ncRNA from 1 species
UGUACUAUUGAAAUAUAAGUUCGUAUAAGCUCAUAAUAUGGUUGAGCGUUUCUACCGGUUUACCGUAAAUUACCGACUAUGAAUGGAGGAAAUAUGCUA